rnacentral:tmRNA from 1 species
GGGCUUGACUGGUUUCGACGGGGUAUUUUAAGCCAAAGAAGCUAUCCGCGGGAAGGCGCGUUAGACCGCAAAUUAAAUAUAAUCGCUGAAGAUAAUUUAGCAUUCGCUGCCUAAGUGCAGCGUGUCCUCUCUAGUGCACUCACACAUUAGAACCAGGGCAUCGAGCUUGUGAGAAACGCUUAUGCAAAGCUUUGCGCAUAAGGCAGAUUUAUGAAGCUACUAAAACUGCUACGGUGUCAGUGACGGAGCAGCGGAGGGAAUGUCAAUCCACUAGACUAUGAUAGUAGAAGGGUGGUAGCGAGUAUUUCGGACGGGGGUUCGAAUCCCCCCAGGUCCACU